UGUUCUGAAAUCAACCCAUUGAGACCUGACCCCUGCGGUAACAGAGGGUGCACUCCACUGUGCCAGGAACACGAAGACUCAAACCACAUCUAAAAGACGACAGGUCACAUCAUAGAUGAAGAAACCAAAGUUCAGACCUUCCGAGAUCACAUGCCUAAGAUGUCGGAAACAGAUGGAGCUCAGUGGGCAGCAAAGCCCUUGUGUACCAAAGGCCCUGAGUCCCAUCCACAGCCCUACAACCCAUCAGUCAGUAAAUUGGGAAUUUAAGAUGUGAAUGAGGGUUCAAAUGGUCUUCCUUUGGCCUGAAAGCGAGCCCAGAAAUCUUUGUUUUAAAUGUGUAUCUUUGACAGUAAACAAUAUCCUCUACUAUUUCUGCCUACAUUUUAUUCUGUAUAGUGCAUUGUGCCACAUUACUUGUUGACUGAAUAAAUGAAUUUUAUCAAACUCA